UACGUAGGGUCCGAGCGUUGUUCGGAAUCACUGGGCGUAAAGCGCACGUAGGCGGAUGUGUCAGUCAGGGGUGAAAUCCCGGGGCUCAACCUCGGAACUGCCUUUGAUACAGCACGUCUCGAGUCCGGAAGAGGUGGGUGGAAUUCCUAGUGUAGAGGUGAAAUUCGUAGAUAUUAGGAAGAACACCGGUGGCGAAGGCGGCCCACUGGUCCGGUACUGACGCUGAGGUGCGAAAGCGUGGGGAGCAAACAGG
rnacentral:rRNA from 1 species